UGGCUUCAUCAACCUUCUCACCUGGAAGUUCAGCAUGGAAAUGGUGCAAGCCAAAGAUUUAGAAAGAAUAAGCCACAUGAUACACAAGAACUCCAUCCAAUCAAUAUAUAAAUAAAAAGUCAAUCGCACCAAACAAUGUUGCAUCUAGAGAAGUACUGACUGACUGACUGAUACCGUAAACAUUAUCUCUGUCCUAAGUCCUAACAGUGAAUUUGGUGACUGAAAUGGUAAAGCAUAAUCUCUGUCCUAAGUCCUAGCAGUGAAUUUGGUGGGGCAAUAUACCUUGUGCAAGAACAGCGACUA